GAGAGUGCUUGCACUCUGCUGACGACCGGCGCACGGGUGAGUAACGCGUAUGCAACCUACCUUUUACAGGGGAAUAGCCCAGAGAAAUUUGGAUUAAUACCCCAUAUUAUCUUUUUUUCGCAUGAAAUAAGGAUGAAAGUUUCGACGGUAAAAGAUGGGCAUGCGUCCUAUUAGUUUGUUGGUAAGGUAACGGCUUACCAAGACUUCGAUAGGUAGGGGCCCUGAGAGGGGGACCCCCCACACUGGUACUGAGACACGGACCAGACUCCUACGGGAGGCAGCAGUGAGGAAUAUUGGACAAUGGAGGAAACUCUGAUCCAGCCAUGCCGCGUGCAGGAUGAAUGCCCUAUGGGUUGUAAACUGCUUUUGUACAGGAAGAAACAUUUCCACGUGUGGGAACUUGACGGUACUGUAAGAAUAAGGAUC
rnacentral:rRNA from 1 species